UCCCCAUUAACUGGGGCAGUCUCCUGUGACACAUAUAACACAGGAUAGGGGUUGCGCUCGUUAACCGACUGAACGGGACACUUCACAGCACGAGCUGACGACAACCGUGCAGCACCUGUCAUCUGGCUCCUUGCGGCACCCCCUAGUUUCUUAGGGGUUCCAGAGAUGUCAAGCCUUGGUAAGGUUCUUCGCUUAGUAUCGAAUUAAAUCGCACGCUCCACCACUUGUGCAGGUCCCCGUCAAUUCCUUUGAGUUUUAAGCUUGCGCUCGUACUCCCCAGGCGGCACACUUAACGCGUUAGCUUCGGUCCAAAGAAGGGUCGAUACUCCCCAAGACCUAGUGUGCAUCGUUUACGGCGUGGACUAC
rnacentral:misc_RNA from 1 species